UACGUAGGGUGCAAGCGUUAAUCGGAAUUACUGGGCGUAAAGCGUACGCAGGCGGCUAUGUAAGACAGGUGUGAAAUCCCCGGGCUUAACCUGGGAACUGCAUUUGUGACUGCAUAGCUAGAGUCUGUCAGAGGGGGGUGGAAUUCCACGUGUAGCAGUGAAAUGCGUAGAGAUCCGGAAGAACACCGGUGGCGAAGGCGGUCUGCUGGGGUGAUGCUGACACUGAUGCGCGACAGCGUGGGGAGCAAACAGG
rnacentral:rRNA from 1 species